rnacentral:rRNA from 1 species
CAGUCGCCGCGGGAAUACGUAGGGUGCAAGCGUUAAUCGGAAUUACUGGGCGUAAAGCGUGCGCAGGCGGUUUGUUAAGACAGAUGUGAAAUCCCCGGGCUCAACCUGGGAACUGCAUUUGUGACUGGCAAGCUAGAGUGUGGCAGAGGGGGGUGGAAUUCCGCGUGUAGCAGUGAAAUGCGUAGAUAUACGGAGGAACACCGAUGGCGAAGGCAGCCCCCUGGGCCAACACUGACGCUCAUGCACGAAAGCGUGGGGAGCAAACAGGAUUAGAUACCCCUGUAGUCCCUGUCUCUUAUAA